UACGGGGGGGGCAAGCGUUUGGUUCGGAAUUACUGGGCGUAAAGGCGUGUAGGCGGCCAACUAAGUCCGACGUGAAAUCCCCAGGCUCAACCUGGGAACUGCGUCUGAUACUGGAUGGCUUGAAUUCGGGAGAGGGAUGCAGAAUUCCAGGUGUAGCGGUGAAACGCGUAGAUAUCUGGAGGAAUACCGGUGGCGAAGGCGGCAUCCUGGACCGACAUUGACGCUGAUGAGCGAAAGCUAGGGGGCAAACGGG
rnacentral:rRNA from 1 species